UCUCGGUGAGCACUCGCGGCUAUUCCAGAGCUUGGAACAGCGGAGCUAAAUGCUCGGCCCUGAUGCGUGGGGUACUGAGGAGAAACACAUCUUGGUACCCAGAAAUCAGAAGGAAAGUAGCCAGAGUCGGAGCAGUCAAGACUAGUCCUCCAGAUCUCUGGGAUGUGGAGCACUACAAGGAUCUGCACCUGAUAGGAAAAAUGUCUAUGAAAAACCAAUUGCCAUGAAUUCAGCUGUAAACAUCAACAAAACAAAUCAAAACAAACAAACAAAACUGGAUCUUGUAGAAUGUCACAUGGAUACAAAGGUUCAGCCAAAGCACAGUUUCUCCUGCCAAUGAUGACCCACUUCAAGCUGACAUUUCAAGCUGACACUGAAACUGAAGUCCCUCUGGACCCUGGCCUAAAACAAGUUCCAAGCUUUGAUAGCCCUCUACCCUAAACAAGUUAUUUGGCUCAUUUCUGUUCUUAUAUGACUACCUACAAUUGACUCUUUGCAUUCUAUCUGCUCUCUGUUUUUGCUCUCAGUUAAAUCUCCUGGAACCACUUAAUAUGUGUUAAUAGUUAAAAUUGGAAUAAAAGAAUGUGUGAUUGCCUAGCUUUUGACUAUCAGUUGACUUGUUCCUAUUCAAUGAACUGCCACCACUGAAAGUGAUGUAGUGUGUGAAUUGAUUAUUAUUCAAUAA